rnacentral:rRNA from 1 species
UACGUAGGGGGCAAGCGUUGUCCGGAAUUAUUGGGCGUAAAGAGCGCGUAGGCGGUCCGAUAAGUCGGCUGUGAAGGUCAAGGGCUCAACCCUUGAAAGCCGGCCGAUACUGUCGGACUAGAGUCCGGAAGAGGCGAGUGGAAUUCCCGGUGUAGCGGUGGAAUGCGUAGAGAUCGGGAAGAACAUCAGUGGCGAAGGCGGCCUGCUGGGCUGUUGCUGACGCUGAGGCGCGACAGCGUGGGGAGCAAACAGG